AUUGAACGCUGGCGGCAUGCCUUACACAUGCAAGUCGAACGGCAGCACGGGAGCAAUCCUGGUGGCGAGUGGCGAACGGGUGAGUAAUAUAUCGGAACGUGCCCAGUCGUGGGGAUAACGUAGCGAAAGCUACGCUAAUACCGCAUACGAUCUAUGGAUGAAAGCGGGGGAUCGCAAGACCUCGCGCGAUUGGAGCGGCCGAUAUCAGAUUAGGUAGUUGGUGAGGUAAAGGCUCACCAAGCCGACGAUCUGUAGCUGGUCUGAGAGGACGACCAGCCACACUGGGACUGAGACACGGCCCAGACUCCUACGGGAGGCAGCAGUGGGGGAAUUUUUGGGACAAUGGGCGCAAGCCUGAUCCAGCAAUGCCGCGUGCAGGAUGACGGUCCUAUGGAUUGUAAACUGCUUUGUACAGGAAGAAACACUACUUCGUGAAGUAGCUUGACGGUACUGUAAGAAUAAGG
rnacentral:rRNA from 1 species